rnacentral:rRNA from 2 species
GGGUUGUGAGGUUAAGCGACUAAGCGUACACGGUGGAUGCCCUGGCAGUCAGAGGCGAUGAAGGACGUGCUAAUCUGCGAUAAGCGUCGGUAAGGUGAUAUGAACCGUUAUAACCGGCGAUUUCCGAAUGGGGAAACCCAGUGUGUUUCGACACACUAUCAUUAACUGAAUCCAUAGGUUAAUGAGGCGAACCGGGGGAACUGAAACAUCUAAGUACCCCGAGGAAAAGAAAUCAACCGAGAUUCCCCCAGUAGCGGCGAGCGAACGGGGAGCAGCCCAGAGCCUGAAUCAGUGUGUGUGUUAGUGGAAGCGUCUGGAAAGGCGCGCGAUACAGGGUGACAGCCCCGUACACAAAAAUGCACAUAUUGUGAGCUCGAUGAGUAGGGCGGGACACGUGGUAUCCUGUCUGAAUAUGGGGGGACCAUCCUCCAAGGCUAAAUACUCCUGACUGACCGAUAGUGAACCAGUACCGUGAGGGAAAGGCGAAAAGAACCCCGGCGAGGGGAGUGAAAAAGAACCUGAAACCGUGUACGUACAAGCAGUGGGAGCACGCUUAGGCGUGUGACUGCGUACCUUUUGUAUAAUGGGUCAGCGACUUAUAUUCUGUAGCAAGGUUAACCGAAUAGGGGAGCCGAAGGGAAACCGAGUCUUAACUGGGCGUUAAGUUGCAGGGUAUAGACCCGAAACCCGGUGAUCUAGCCAUGGGCAGGUUGAAGGUUGGGUAACACUAACUGGAGGACCGAACCGACUAAUGUUGAAAAAUUAGCGGAUGACUUGUGGCUGGGGGUGAAAGGCCAAUCAAACCGGGAGAUAGCUGGUUCUCCCCGAAAGCUAUUUAGGUAGCGCCUCGUGAAUUCAUCUCCGGGGGUAGAGCACUGUUUCGGCAAGGGGGUCAUCCCGACUUACCAACCCGAUGCAAACUGCGAAUACCGGAGAAUGUUAUCACGGGAGACACACGGCGGGUGCUAACGUCCGUCGUGAAGAGGGAAACAACCCAGACCGCCAGCUAAGGUCCCAAAGUCAUGGUUAAGUGGGAAACGAUGUGGGAAGGCCCAGACAGCCAGGAUGUUGGCUUAGAAGCAGCCAUCAUUUAAAGAAAGCGUAAUAGCUCACUGGUCGAGUCGGCCUGCGCGGAAGAUGUAACGGGGCUAAACCAUGCACCGAAGCUGCGGCAGCGACGCUGAUGCGUUGUUGGGUAGGGGAGCGUUCUGUAAGCCUGUGAAGGUGUGCUGUGAGGCAUGCUGGAGGUAUCAGAAGUGCGAAUGCUGACAUAAGUAACGAUAAAGCGGGUGAAAAGCCCGCUCGCCGGAAGACCAAGGGUUCCUGUCCAACGUUAAUCGGGGCAGGGUGAGUCGACCCCUAAGGCGAGGCCGAAAGGCGUAGUCGAUGGGAAACAGGUUAAUAUUCCUGUACUUGGUGUUACUGCGAAGGGGGGACGGAGAAGGCUAUGUUGGCCGGGCGACGGUUGUCCCGGUUUAAGCGUGUAGGCUGGUUUUCCAGGCAAAUCCGGAAAAUCAAGGCUGAGGCGUGAUGACGAGGCACUACGGUGCUGAAGCAACAAAUGCCCUGCUUCCAGGAAAAGCCUCUAAGCAUCAGGUAACAUCAAAUCGUACCCCAAACCGACACAGGUGGUCAGGUAGAGAAUACCAAGGCGCUUGAGAGAACUCGGGUGAAGGAACUAGGCAAAAUGGUGCCGUAACUUCGGGAGAAGGCACGCUGAUAUGUAGGUGAAGUCCCUCGCGGAUGGAGCUGAAAUCAGUCGAAGAUACCAGCUGGCUGCAACUGUUUAUUAAAAACACAGCACUGUGCAAACACGAAAGUGGACGUAUACGGUGUGACGCCUGCCCGGUGCCGGAAGGUUAAUUGAUGGGGUCAGCGCAAGCGAAGCUCUUGAUCGAAGCCCCGGUAAACGGCGGCCGUAACUAUAACGGUCCUAAGGUAGCGAAAUUCCUUGUCGGGUAAGUUCCGACCUGCACGAAUGGCGUAAUGAUGGCCAGGCUGUCUCCACCCGAGACUCAGUGAAAUUGAACUCGCUGUGAAGAUGCAGUGUACCCGCGGCAAGACGGAAAGACCCCGUGAACCUUUACUAUAGCUUGACACUGAACAUUGAGCCUUGAUGUGUAGGAUAGGUGGGAGGCUUUGAAGUGUGGACGCCAGUCUGCAUGGAGCCGACCUUGAAAUACCACCCUUUAAUGUUUGAUGUUCUAACGUGGACCCGUGAUCCGGGUUGCGGACAGUGUCUGGUGGGUAGUUUGACUGGGGCGGUCUCCUCCUAAAGAGUAACGGAGGAGCACGAAGGUUGGCUAAUCCUGGUCGGACAUCAGGAGGUUAGUGCAAUGGCAUAAGCCAGCUUGACUGCGAGCGUGACGGCGCGAGCAGGUGCGAAAGCAGGUCAUAGUGAUCCGGUGGUUCUGAAUGGAAGGGCCAUCGCUCAACGGAUAAAAGGUACUCCGGGGAUAACAGGCUGAUACCGCCCAAGAGUUCAUAUCGACGGCGGUGUUUGGCACCUCGAUGUCGGCUCAUCACAUCCUGGGGCUGAAGUAGGUCCCAAGGGUAUGGCUGUUCGCCAUUUAAAGUGGUACGCGAGCUGGGUUUAGAACGUCGUGAGACAGUUCGGUCCCUAUCUGCCGUGGGCGCUGGAGAACUGAGGGGGGCUGCUCCUAGUACGAGAGGACCGGAGUGGACGCAUCACUGGUGUUCGGGUUGUCAUGCCAAUGGCACUGCCCGGUAGCUAAAUGCGGAAGAGAUAAGUGCUGAAAGCAUCUAAGCACGAAACUUGCCCCGAGAUGAGUUCUCCCUGACUCCUUGAGAGUCCUGAAGGAACGUUGAAGACGACGACGUUGAUAGGCCGGGUGUGUAAGCGCAGCGAUGCGUUGAGCUAACCGGUACUAAUGAACCGUGAGGCUUAACCUUACAACGCCGAAGGUGUUU